rnacentral:rRNA from 1 species
AACGGGGGGGGCAAGCGUUAUUCGUCGUGACUGGGCGUAAAGGGCCCGUAGACGGUUUGCCUUUUUUUGCACAAACAUUUGGUAAUUUAUUACAUUUUUUUGCUUAUUUAUGUAGUACUCGAGUGUAGGCUGGAAUUUUGGUAUUCUUGAUGGAGGGGUGAAAUCCGUAGAUAUCAAAGGGGACUACCAAUAGCGAAGGCAAAAAUUUAUUCUACACUGACGUUGAGGGGCGAAAGCAUGGGUAUCAAACGGG